GACGAACGCUGUCGGCGUGCUUAACACAUGCAAGUCGAACGGAAAGGCCCUGCUUUUGUGGGGUGCUCGAGUGGCGAACGGGUGAGUAACACGUGAGUAACCUGCCCUUGACUUUGGGAUAACUUCAGGAAACUGGGGCUAAUACCGGAUAGGAGCUCCUGCUGCAUGGUGGGGGUUGGAAAGUUUCGGCGGUUGGGGAUGGACUCGCGGCUUAUCAGCUUGUUGGUGGGGUAGUGGCUUACCAAGGCUUUGACGGGUAGCCGGCCUGAGAGGGUGACCGGCCACAUUGGGACUGAGAUACGGCCCAGACUCCUACGGGAGGCAGCAGUGGGGAAUAUUGCACAAUGGGCGGAAGCCUGAUGCAGCAACGCCGCGUGCGGGAUGACGGCCUUCGGGUUGUAAACCGCUUUCGCCUGUGACGAAGCGUGAGUGACGGUAAUGGGUAAAGAAGCACCGGCUAACUACGUGCCAGCAGCCGCGGUGAUACGUAGGGUGCGAGCGUUGUCCGGAUUUAUUGGGCGUAAAGGGCUCGUAGGUGGUUGAUCGCGUCGGAAGUGUAAUCUUGGGGCUUAACCCUGAGCGUGCUUUCGAUACGGGUUGACUUGAGGAAGGUAGGGGAGAAUGGAAUUCCUGGUGGAGCGGUGGAAUGCGCAGAUAUCAGGAGGAACACCAGUGGCGAAGGCGGUUCUCUGGGCCCUUCCUGACGCUGAGGAGCGAAAGCGUGGGGAGCGAACAGGCUUAGAUACCCUGGUAGUCCACGCUGUAAACGGUGGGUACUAGGUGUGGGGUCCAUUCCACGGGUUCCGUGCCGUAGCUAACGCUUUAAGUACCCCGCCUGGGGAGUACGGCCGCAAGGCUAAAACUCAAAGGAAUUGACGGGGCCCCGCACAAGCGGCGGAGCAUGCGGAUUAAUUCGAUGCAACGCGUAGAACCUUACCUGGGUUUGACAUGGAUCGGGAGUGCUCAGAGAUGGGUGUGCCUCUUUUGGGGUCGGUUCACAGGUGGUGCAUGGCUGUCGUCAGCUCGUGUCGUGAGAUGUUGGGUUAAGUCCCGCAACGAGCGCAACCCUUGUUCACUGUUGCCAGCACGUUAUGGUGGGGACUCAGUGGAGACCGCCGGGGUCAACUCGGAGGAAGGUGGGGAUGACGUCAAGUCAUCAUGCCCCUUAUGUCCAGGGCUUCACGCAUGCUACAAUGGCUGGUACAGAGAGUGGCGAGCCUGUGAGGGUGAGCGAAUCUCGGAAAGCCGGUCUCAGUUCGGAUUGGGGUCUGCAACUCGACCUCAUGAAGUCGGAGUCGCUAGUAAUCGCAGAUCAGCAACGCUGCGGUGAAUACGUUCCCGGG
rnacentral:rRNA from 1 species